GCGCCCGUAGCUCAGUGGAUAGAGCGGCGGACUCCGGAUCCGCAGGUCGAAGGUUCAAAUCCUUUCGGGCGCG
rnacentral:tRNA from 1 species